UACAGAGGGUGCGAGCGUUAAUCGGAAUUACUGGGCGUAAAGGGUGCGUAGGUGGCGAGGUAAGUCGGAUGUGAAAGCUCGGAGCUCAACUCCGAAAUGGCAUUGGAAACUACCUUGCUCGAGGGUUGGAGGGGGGACUGGAAUACUUGGUGUAGCAGUGAAAUGCGUAGAUAUCAAGUGGAACACCAGUGGCGAAGGCGAGUCCCUGGACAACUCCUGACACUGAGGCACGAAAGCUAGGGGAGCAAACAGG
rnacentral:rRNA from 1 species